GCCAGGCGUGGUGGCUCACGCCUGUAAUCCCAGCACUUUGGGAGGCCGAGGUGGGUGGAUCACCUGAGGUCAGGAGUUCAAGACCAGCCUGGCCAAUAUGGUGAACCCUCAUCUCUA
rnacentral:SRP_RNA from 2 species